UACGUAGGGGGCAAGCGUUGUCCGGAUUUAUUGGGCGUAAAGCGCUCGCAGGUGGUUCGAUGCGUCGUGCGUGAAAGCCCCCGGCUCAACUGGGGAGGGUCACGCGAUACUGAUCGACUGGAAGGCAGGAGAGGGUAGUGGAAUUCCCGGUGUAGUGGUGAAAUGCGUAGAUAUCGGGAGGAACACCAGUGGCGAAGGCGACUACCUGGCCUGUUCUUGACGCUGAGGCGCGAAAGCUAGGGGAGCAAACGGG
rnacentral:rRNA from 1 species